AUUUUAGUUCAAUUAAUUUUUUUUGGUUAAUGAUUAAAUUUUAUAUUCUAUAUAUUUUAUAUUUUUAAGUGAAAUUUUAAAUGUAAAUUAGAUAAAUUAAAAAGUUGAGGUCUAUAAAUUAAUUAAGAAACUAGGAUUAGAUACCCUAUUAUUAUUUUUUUAUUUAUUUUGCCUUAUGAUUAAUAGUUAAUUUCUUUAAAGUAAAAAGAGUUGGCGGUAUUUUAAUCCUUUUAGAGGAACCUGUUUAUUAAUUGAUAAUCCACGAUUAGGUUUACUUAUUUUAUAGUUUACAUAUCGUUGUUUAAAAUAUAUUGUUAGAUCAUAUUUUUUUUUUAUUUAAUAAAUUAAUUCAGAUCAAGGUGUAGCUUAUAAAUAAGUUUAAAUGGGUUACUAUAAUAAUAAUUGGGGAUUUAAUUUUAAAAAGUUAAUGAAUUUGGAUUUAAAAGUAAAUUUUUUUGUAUAAAAAAGUUGUUUAGGCUCUAAAAU
rnacentral:rRNA from 1 species